UACGUAGGGGGCUAGCGUUGUCCGGAAUCAUUGGGCGUAAAGCGCGCGUAGGCGGUCAGGUAAGUCCGGUGUGAAAGUCAAAGGCUCAACCUUUGAAUGCCGCUGGAAACUGCCUGACUUGAGUCCGGUAGGGGCGAGUGGAAUUCCUGGUGUAGCGGUGAAAUGCGCAGAUAUCAGGAGGAACACCGGUGGCGAAGGCGGAUCUCUGGGCCUGAUCUGACGCUGAGGCGCGAAAGCUAGGGGAGCGAACAGG
rnacentral:rRNA from 1 species